rnacentral:misc_RNA from 1 species
ACACCUGGUCCCGCUACCUGAAUA